rnacentral:rRNA from 1 species
UGCGAAGGGGGCUAGCGUUGUUCGGAUUUACUGGGCGUAAAGCGCAUGUAGGCGGACCAUUAAGUUGGGGGUGAAAUCCCGAGGCUCAAACUCGGAAUUGCCUCCAAAACUGGCGGUCUGGAGCAGAAUAAAGGCGAGUGGAAUUCCAAGUGUAGAGGUGAAAUUCGGAUAUAGUUGGAGGUACACCAGGGGCGACGGCCACUCGCUGGCUUCUUGCUGACUCUGAGAUGCGAAAGCGUGGGGAGCAAACAGG